rnacentral:tRNA from 1 species
GAGCUAAUAGCUCAGCUGGUAGAGCACAUCCCUUUUAAGGAUGGGGUCCUGGGUUCGAGCCCCAGUUGGCUCA